UAAGAAUCUCAGGCAAGCCUUUUGCUAAG
rnacentral:piRNA from 1 species